UACGUAGGGGGCUAGCGUUGUCCGGAUUUAUUGGGCGUAAAGAGCGUGUAGGCGGCCAGGUAGGUCUGCUGUGAAAACUCGAGGCUUAACCUCGAGAUGUCGGCGGAAACCAUCUGGCUAGAGUCCGGAAGAGGAGAGUGGAAUUCCUGGUGUAGCGGUGAAAUGCGCAGAUAUCAGGAAGAACACCCGUGGCGAAGGCGGCUCUCUGGGGACGGUACUGACGCUGAGACGCGAAAGCGUGGGGAGCGAACAGG
rnacentral:rRNA from 1 species